rnacentral:lncRNA from 1 species
CUGAGAGAGAAGAGACAUCAGCUGAUGAAGAGCUGGUUUUCUGUCAGUCAGCAGCAGGCAGCUACAGUCCUGCAGAAGAGAGAGAGUGAGGGGCGGGCAGAGUGAGGGGCUGUGUGCAUACUCACACACUGAGGAGGAGAAAAGCAGAAGUCACAGCGAAGUAGGGGAAGCUCUUCAGUCAGUUAAAUCAGAUCGCCUUGACUCGCUCUCCUUCAGAAAUGAAUGAAACAGGAUCCAAAUGGAGUAUUUCUAGGGCAAAGUGACCAUUGUAAUGUUCCACUUGAGUGUUUGUUUGGGUUAUUCUUCUUUCAUUUGCUUGGUUGGACCAAUGCAGGGUCGCACAACAAGGAAGUGUCUGAGGCUGAAUUUGAACUCAUAUCUUACUGACUCCAAGUUGAAUGCUCAUAACCACAGAGCCACAGAAUUGCCUAUAUCUCCUUUGUUGAAGUCCCUCCCUUCCUUCAAGAAUCACCUCAGAUGUUCCCUCCUCCCUAAAGCCUCCCCUGAAUACUCCAAAGUAUCUAUCUCUCCAGUUACUUAUCACACUUCUUUAACUCUGGCUCAGCAUCAUAUUUAAGCCAGUUUAUCUGUCAAGUUUUUACCCUGUUCCAAGACUAGGGAGACAUAGAAAGGCAAAAGUACAAUCCUUGCCAUCAAGAAACUUACAUUCUAUGGGGGGAUAUAAUAGGCUAUGUGAAUCAUUGUAUUGUGUUUAGUAGCAAAGUCUAUCACAUUUGAUUGUUCUGUAAUAUUGCAGCCACUGUGUAUUAUGACUUUGCUACUAAAAGCAAUGCAAUGAUCCAGGACAAUUCUGAGGGACUUAUGAAAAAGAAUGCUGUCCACAUCCAGAGAAAGAAUUAUUGGAGUAGAAAUGCAGGUGAAAACAUGUGAUUUUUCACUUGUUUAUUUGGGUUUAUGUCUUGGGGUUUUGGUUUUAUAAGAUUAGUCACUUACAAAAAUGAAUAAUAUGGAAAUAGGUUUUAUGUGAUAAUAAAUGUAUAACUGAGAUUGAAUUGUUUGUCA